UACAGAGGGUGCAAGCGUUAUUCGGAAUUACUGGGCGUAAAGCGUGCGUAGCCGGUCAUGUAAGUCGGGUGUGAAAGCCCCGGGCUCAACCUGGGAAUUGCAUUCGAGACUGCAUGGCUAGGAUGCGGAAGAGGGAAGCGGAAUUUCCGGUGUAGCGGUGAAAUGCGUAGAUAUCGGAAGGAACACCAGUGGCGAAAGCGGCUUCCUGGUCCAGCAUCGACGUUCAGGCACGAAAGCGUGGGGAGCAAACAGG
rnacentral:rRNA from 1 species